rnacentral:rRNA from 1 species
AACGCACUCUUCGGAGUGAGUGGCAGACGGGUGAGUAACGCGUGGGAACCUUCCCAAUGGUGCGGAAUAGCCCAGGGAAACUUGGGGUAAUACCGCAUACGCCCUACGGGGGAAAGAUUUAUCGCCAUUGGAUGGGCCCGCGUCGGAUUAGCUUGUUGGUGAGGUAAUGGCUCACCAAGGCAACGAUCCGUAGCUGGUUUGAGAGAAUGACCAGCCACACUGGGACUGAGACACGGCCCAGACUCCUACGGGAGGCAGCAGUGGGGAAUCUUGGACAAUGGGCGAAAGCCUGAUCCAGCCAUGCCGCGUGAGUGACGAAGGCCUUAGGGUUGUAAAGCUCUUUUGGCGGGGACGAUAAUGACGGUACCCGCAGAAUAAGUCCCGGCUAACUUCGUGCCAGCAGCCGCGGUAAUACGAAGGGGACUAGCGUUGUUCGGAAUUACUGGGCGUAAAGCGCACGUAGGCGGAUUUGUUAGUCAGGGGUGAAAUCCCGGGGCUCAACCUCGGAACUGCCUUUGAUACUGCAAGUCUCGAGUCCGAGAGAGGUGGGUGGAAUUCCUAGUGUAGAGGUGAAAUUCGUAGAUAUUAGGAAGAACACCGGUGGCGAAGGCGGCCCACUGGCUCGGUACUGACGCUGAGGUGCGAAAGC